GGCAACGCCGGAUCCUUAACCCACUGAGCAAGGGCAGGGAUCGCACCCGCAACCUCAUGGUUCCUAGUUGGAUUCGUUAACCACUGUUGAGAAAGAGGAAUCUCAUGAACAUGAUUAAGAAUGUAUAUAACAGACAAAAACAAUUUUAAAUGAACCAUAAAAUGGCACUUAAAUGACUUAGUUGAAUUGUUCAUGUGGUGCAGAAAGUGGUAUAGUAUAAUCCCACUGUAAAAAAAAGAAAAAUAUGAUGUAGUAAUAUAAUAUAUGGGGGACUAGAAGAGGAAUCUUUGGAAUAGUGAAACACAAAUCAUCUUCAAAAGAAAAUCUUCAAAGGAGGUUUGCUUGAGGAAACUUUACAGUGGAAGACAAACUGCCUUCAAAGACUUUAGGGAAGUCUACUCUAAGUGUCAGAGCCUUUCCCAGUUUCACCUGUAUCUUUAUCCUUCAGGAACAUUUUUAAUAGCAUUUUAAAUUUGUUAUCUGAACUUCUGUAUAUCUCAACACCUCUUUUGUAAUCAGAAGGUAAUUUAAGAAUUAUUUCUGUUGUCUGGUAUACCAACAUACCACGACUUUGCCUUCGCCUGCUCUAUUUUAUGAAAGUAGUGGGAUUUCGGCUGACAUCUAGUUAUUCGCAUCACCUAUGUCACUGUACUGAAAUGCAUCUCCAUUGUAAAUAAACUACAAUCCAGUAGUUUUGAUUAAACAAUGUGUGAUAUAGGUUUGAGUCACAUUAAUGAAUUAGAGGUGUUACUCAAGUGGUUUAUGGGAAAGGGCUUCUGUUAUGUAUAUUGCUUUACUGUACACUUUAUUCCUAAAAAAGAUAUCUAAAUUAUCUAAAUGUUCCACAGCAUCCAACCAUUCAGUUGAAAGAAUUCUUCAGAGAAAAAUAGAGUUCAGCAGUUAUGAACCUAAACUCGUCUAGAAACAAUUUGUUCUAUUAUGUUAUUGAAAAUAAACACAAGUAAACUUCAGUAAGCCAUGGUAUUUUACCUCCUUCAAUAUUAUAUUUACAUUAUUUGCACAGCAGGUUGAGAAAGUAAUCCCUGUGGAGAUAUUAAGGAAAUGAUUUAUUUUUCUGUUAGAUACACAAAUGCGGGACUGUGUGUUUUAUCAUACAUAAUAGCUUUUAAUUGGGAGACAUGAAAAUUGAAUAGCACUACCAUGUGUGACAUGUGAAUUACGAUGUGAUAUUUAUAAAUAUUUUAGUAGUUACCAUUUACCAGAUGGAGGUAAUGUGUGUUUUUGCAAGUCUGAAACAUCCUUUUUAUGAUAAUAGUCCACACUUGACGUAAUUUAUUCUGGCUUUGCAAUAUGGAUGCAGGUUCUCUGCACUGUACCUAUCAUGAGCUUUAGCAAAUCAGACAAUCCUAAACAUGAAUGCACAUCAAGAUGAAUGUUAGCAAUUCAUUUGACUAAUGAAUAUUAAAUUGAAAUGUUUUCUCUCAGUAUGUGCUAUAAUUUGAAAUAAAGGGGCUGAGCAAAUUUCCCAUUUGCAUUUUUGCUCACUACAUGUAACCUUGGAAAGAUAACUUUAAAAGUUAUAUUUGAACAUGGAGGAAAUGACAUGAAAGCCCACAUACUAUUAGACAUAAAACUUUAUCCCCAAACGUUUUAUUUUUAGGGGAUAAAUUAACAUCAUUCUCCUUUAUCUGUAUUUUGUAAUCCAGAUGAAAUGCUUGCGAGAGGUUGAAAUUUGUGUGGAAGAAGCUUUUUCUCCCCUGCUUUUUUUUCUCUUUACAGUUAUGAACCUAAACUUUACUCCCAAAGUUCUGUCACUUCUGUCACCAUCUUUUUUAAAGUACUGUGGAUUUUUUUAAAAGCCACAUGGACUAGGUUUGGUAUGAGUUCUGCAGUUACCAGUACCGACAAUAGAAAUAGAGCAUUAUAUUGUUAUUCUUUCCUUUCCUACUGAUUAACUCAAUGGCUUUAUGCUCACAGGCACCCUGCAUAUCAACUGAUAUGUCUAGGAGAGCUGUGGCAGUCAAAUGUGAGCCUUUCAAGCAAGCAUGUGUAAUUCUAGCAUUUCCUGAUGCAUGCUUGAAGAGUUGCUUUUUGGUGCUUUCAAUCAUUUUAAUGAGGUUUCUUAGUUUGAUUUACAAAUUUCGUAAACAUAACUUGGUGUUGUUAUGUUUAGACUUUGGUUCUUAUUUCAUAAUGUGUGUUUUGAGAGUACUUGAUGCUGUAGAAAAAUAAAGAAACUUCAUCUUUCUCCUACUGUAUCCACAAACAAAACAGAAAAGGAGCUAAAGCAGAAUUAGAAAGACUUUUGGAAUAUCAAACAAGAUUAAAAGGUUUCAAGUCUCUUAGAAUAGAAUGUUGAUCAUAGCAAGGUACACAGGCACAAGCAUACACACCACAAAUGCACAAUUCUGAAACAAAAUAAAAUUUUUUGUUACCAGUUGUUAAUGGGAUUAUGGCUAAAUCUGGGACUCAAGAAAGUAAUCUCCUAUCAUUUGAAUCCAUUUGAAGCCCUACAUGAGAUUUUACAGUUUUAAAAUAUCCUAGGGAAACAUAUAUCUUUGAGUAAUGUGAUGGAAUUAAAGUGCUAUGAACACUUGCAAGAGAAGCUAAAUUAAAGGCACAAAAUUUAAAAGGAUAUAUUAUUUCAAACAUAAAUUGCUGGCAUCCACUUUAUAAAUGGGAAUUAGAUUUGUAGUCUAUAAAAAUUCUUAGGUAGCUGUGAUUUACAUUUUUCUGUUAAGUUGUUGCAGUUUAAUAUUUCUCCUAAUGCACUGGAAUUUGUUUAUGCCACUUUUUGAGAGACUAAAAUGAAAAUGCUACAAACAGGAAUACAUUAAUGAAAAUGUUUCAAACAGGAAUACAGCAAUGACAUAAUCAGGUAGCUCAGCAUCUUUGCAAGGAGGCAAUAGUGGGAAGCUAAAGGUAUUUGGAAUUAAUAGCUUCCCUCCCUCUUCUAGGUGGCUCUUUGCCUGAAGCAGAAGAAUCAGGGGAAUAGAUGAUGAAUAUUCAGUUACAAUUAGAUCCCUUUAUUCUUGGCUUUAGAACUGAAGCUCUGUCUGGAGGAAUUCUGUGGAAAUGCUGCAUAGGUUUAGUAAGAUAUAAUUAGUGAGUAAAGGUUUAAAAUCUGGGUACUUAAUUUUUCAUUUCCCUUUAAUCCUUAAUAAACUCAGUGAUCUUUUACAAAUUAUUGCUUUUGUGGUAUCAAUCUGUUUCUAUCUGUGAAAAUAACUAAUUCUUGAUCUCCUGUAUUGAUACAAAUUAUUUCCUGAAAAAAUAAAGUGUUUGCAUGUUUUGCUAUGCAAGUAAGAAUUGAGGUGGUUGUGUAAAGUUUAGAUUCCCAGCUGCCCUUCCAGAGAUCCUAACUUAGUAAGUCUUGUGUGGGUUCCAGGAAUUUGCCCUCCUUUGUACCACAUGGUGCAGGUGGAUCGCAUUUUUGUGUUACCUUAAGGGGAUUAGCUAAAUCCUCACUUAUUCUCAGAUUCCAGUUGGAACAGUUUUUAUGAAAGUCAAUGACUUACAUUAAUUCUUCUGGAUAAGUACUAGAAGCAAAAAUGUUACUUAGAGAGAUGCUAUUUGGAAAGUAUAAUCCUGUUCCUUAGGAGUUUGUAGGUGCUAAACGCCUUCAGUGAGAAAUUCCUUCAUUGAGUAUGUAUGUCCUCUCUUAGUUUAUUCUACAAUGCAAAAUCAUUUAUACAAAAGCCAUAUGCAACCUCACAAGUAGAAUCUCUUUGAAUGAAAAUCAAGGAAGUAGUUUAAAAAAAUGAAGUUCUUUUGCUCCUACUACUGAAACAUUCCUGUAUUUGAAAAACAAUAAAAGUGGUGUUUUUCCUUCUCUUGGCACCCUGCAUCGAUAAAUGAGUAACUUAAAUGGCUUACUUUUGUUUGCCCUCAGGUUCUGUUCUUCAUAACCAAUCCAAAUGGGAAACAAACACUGAAACCCUCAAAUAACUGUUGUCCCAACUAAUCCUGAUUCCAAGUUCUGCUCUUGUCUUUUUGUCCUUUUUAGGGCCACACCCACAGCAUAUGGAAGUUCCAGGCUAGUGGUCUAAUCAGAGCUACAGCUGCUGGCCUACACCACAGCCACAGCAGUGCCAGAUCCGAGCUGCACCUUCGACCUACACCACAGCUCCUGACAAUGCUGGAUCCUUAACCCAGUGAGGGAGACCAGGGAUCAAAACCUCAACCUCAUGGUUCCUAGUCGGAUUCAUUUCUGCUGCACCACGAAGGGAACUCCCAAGGUCUGCCCUUAUCUAGUCAAGUGAAUUCGGGUAUGGGUACUUUAUAUGUGUUGACAUAUGGUCAGCUUGUAAUCUUCCUACCAACUCCUCUUCUCAUUAAUCCAGGCUGUACUUAAUAAUUGCUUUUCCCACAUAAUGACACAAGUUAAUUGCAAAAUUCUGUUUUGAUCAAAACUGUUAGGUAAACUUUUCUGGAUUAAAGCCAACUGCAAUUUUUCUGUCAGAAAUGUAUUUGUCUGUUUCUCAAAAUAUGUAAACUGCGCAUUUUGAAAUAUUGCCAAAUAUAUAGCUUUUUCAACAGGUACCAUAUAUUU
rnacentral:lncRNA from 1 species